ensembl:lncRNA
GUUUGUUCCUCUUUGCUUGGACAGUUCAAUAACUAAUCUCAAUGCAGCCAGCAGCCUGUGGUUUUGAAAAUGAAGAGGGCAGGCCCGAUGGAAAGUCCUGAUUGGCGUGGCGGUGUUGGGUGUUGUUUGUGUGUGUGUGUGUGUGUGUGUGCGUGCGUGUGUGUGUUGGGUAAUUGGAAGGUUAUAUUGUCAGUUCACAUGAGCGUUCAGGGCCAGGACAGGGAGAACACACCCUGGCUGCACAAAUAGACCUCCGCAGAAUCCUUUGGUUUGUAAUCAAUAAUGAAAUGUGAGAAAGGGCAGCCGUAGUUUGGUCUCCAUCCUUGAGUUCAUCCAUCCGUCUGUCACAUCUGAGAUCAGUGGGGAUGAUGCAUCAACAAAGAGCACGUCCUCUCUGACAUAACGUGCUGCUUUAUGGACCGCGUUGACCUGUCGAUCCAACGGUUGCUGCCAGUGACAUCACACACCGGCCCCCACGAGCUUUUGGAUCCCGCUGAUGUGACCGCACACGGGCCACGCG